rnacentral:misc_RNA from 1 species
CCAAACUUGGUCAUUUAGAGGAAGUAAAAGUCGUAACAAGGUUUCCGUAGGUGAACCUGCGGAAGGAUCAUUAACGAGUGGGGUUGCCUCCGGGCGCCCAAACUCCCAACCCUUGACUACCAAGAUUGUUGCUUCGGUGGGCCGCGGAGACACCUCCCCGCCGGCCCCGGCUGGCGAGUGCCCGCCGAAGGUUCAAACCAAACUCGUUUAAAUUUUGCUGUCUGAAAAUCUUAUUUAAUAAGCUAAAAACUUUCAACAACGGAUCUCUUGGUUCUGGCAUCGAUGAAGAACGCAGC